AACUAGAUACUUAUGAUAUAAAAUAAGAUACGAAAAAAAUUUCCUACGUCAUACAAUUUGAAUAUUGGAAACCCUAGUGGCAAAUAUAAAUCUAUUCUAUAGAUAUUUGAAUGUACACAUUUGUUGGUACACACUUCUUGGAUGAAUCUUUUGAUAAUUAAUUUGAAAAAAUAUCUAAAACUAUUGAAUUUGUGAAUUGUGAAUAUCAUAAAUUUUUUUUGUUACUUCUUCCAAAGACAGGUCUGUUUUAGCAAUGGUUAUAAUGUUGUAAGGUGAAAUACAAUUUACGCAAAUUACAAUUUACAAAUGUGAUUAUUACGAUUUCAGUAUUUUAUUUAAAUAACAACUUUUAACUUUUAAGUAGGUACAUUAUAAUAUUUAUG